rnacentral:rRNA from 1 species
GAUGAACGCUGGCGGCGUGCCUAAUACAUGCAAGUCGAGCGAACGUACGAGAAGCUUGCUUUUCUGAUGUUAGCGGCGGACGGGUGAGUAACACGUGGAUAACCUACCUAUAAGACUGGGAUAACUUCGGGAAACCGGAGCUAAUACCGGAUAAUAUUUUGAACCGCAUGGUUCAAAAGUGAAAGACGGUCUUGCUGUCACUUAUAGAUGGAUCCGCGCUGCAUUAGCUAGUUGGUAAGGUAACGGCUUACCAAGGCAACGAUGCAUAGCCGACCUGAGAGGGUGAUCGGCCACACUGGAACUGAGACACGGUCCAGACUCCUACGGGAGGCAGCAGUAGGGAAUCUUCCGCAAUGGGCGAAAGCCUGACGGAGCAACGCCGCGUGAGUGAUGAAGGUCUUCGGAUCGUAAAACUCUGUUAUUAGGGAAGAACAUAUGUGUAAGUAACUGUGCACAUCUUGACGGUACCUAAUCAGAAAGCCACGGCUAACUACGUG